GACGAACGCUGGCGGCGUGCUUAACACAUGCAAGUCGAACGGAAAGGCCCAGCUUGCUUGGUACUCGCGUGGCGAACGGGUGAGUGACACAUGGGUGAACCGCCCCUUACUUUGUGAUAAGCCUUGGAAACUGGGUCGAAUACCGGAUAUGACCUUACAUCGCAUGGUGUUUGGGGGAGAGCUUUUGCGGUUGGGGAUGGGCACGCGGCCUAUCAGCUUUUUGGGGGGGGAAUGGCCUACCAAGGCGACGUAGGGUAGCCGACCUGGGAGGGUGAUCGGCCACAAUGGGACUGGGGAACGGCCCAGACUUCUACGGGAGGCAGCAGUGGGGAAUAUUGCACAAUGGGCGCAAGCCUGAUGCAGCGACGCCGCGUGGGGGAAGACGGCCUUCGGGUUGUAAACCUGUUUCACCAGGGACGAAGCGUGGGUGACGGUACCUGGAGAAGAAGCACCGGCCAACUUCGUG
rnacentral:rRNA from 1 species